UGGGUUGUAGCUCAGUGGUAGAGCACUUGCCUCGAAUACGUGAGGCCCUGGGUUUGACCCUCAGCACCACUUAA
rnacentral:tRNA from 1 species